rnacentral:rRNA from 1 species
UACGGAGGAUGCGAGCGUUAUCCGGAUUUAUUGGGUUUAAAGGGUGCGUAGGCGGCUUAGUAAGUCAGCGGUGAAAUUUUGCAGCUCAACUGUAAAAGUGCCUUCGAAACUGGUUUCCUUGAGUGUAGAUGAAGUAGGCGGAAUUUGUGGUGUAGCGGUGAAAUGCAUAGAUAUCACGAGGAACUCCGAUUGCGCAGGCAGCUUACUAAACUACUACUGACGCUCAGGCACGAAGGCGUGGGGAUCAAACAGGAUUAGAUACCCCCGUA